CCGUGCUAGACGGGGAGGUAGCGGUGCCCUGAACCCGCAAUCCGCUAUAGCGGGGUCGAAUGCCCGCCUGAGGUGUCGGCGGUGUGAGGACGGCGGCGGUCUUAAGGCGUUGACGGCCGGGUCCUUCGCAAUGGACGACCGUGAACCCGGUCAGGUUCGGAAGAAAGCAGCCGUAAGCGGACCCGUCCAUGUGCCGGAGGGACGCCCGGUCCGAGCCGGCGGCCCGUCGCGCGCUCGGAUCGCGGCAUCGAAGGCGGGUGCACGG
rnacentral:SRP_RNA from 1 species